rnacentral:rRNA from 1 species
UCGGGAAUAUUGCGCAAUGGAGGAAACUCUGACGCAGUGACGCCGCGUGCAGGAAGAAGGUUUUCGGAUUGUAAACUGCUUUAGACAGGGAAGAUAACGACAGUACCUGUAGAAUAAGCUCCGGCUAACUACGUGCCAGCAGCCGCGGUAAUACGUAGGGAGCAAGCGUUAUCCGGAUUUAUUGGGUGUAAAGGGGUGCGUAGACGGGAAGGCAAGUUAGUUGUGAAAUCCCUCGGCUUAACUGGGGAACUGCAACUAAAACUAUCUUUCUUGAGUGUUGGAGAGGAAAGUGGAAUUCCUAGUGUAGCGGUGAAAUGCGUAGAUAUUAGGAGGAACACCAGUGGCGAAGGCGACUUUCUGGACAAUAACUGACGUUGAGGCACGAAAGUGUGGGGAGCAAACAGGAUUAGAUACCC